AUUGAACGCUGGCGGCAGGCCUAACACAUGCAAGUCGAGCGGAGCGGCGGACGGGUGAGUAAUGCCUAGGAAUCUGCCUGGUAGUGGGGGAUAACGACCGGAACCGGGCGCUAAUCCCGCAUCCGAUCAGAUGAGCCUAGGUCGGAUUAGCUAGUUGGUGGGGUAAAGGCCUACUAAGGCGACGAUCCGUAACUGGACUGAGAGGAUGAUCAGUCACACUGGAACGGAGAAACAGUCCGGACUCCGACGAGAGGCAGAAGUGGGGAAUAUUGGACAAUGGGCGAAAUACUGAUCCAGCCAUGCCGCGUGAGUGAAGAAGGUCUUCGGAUUGUAAAGCACUUUAAGUUGGGAGGCGUUACCAACAGAAUAAGCACCGGCUAACUUCGUGCCAGCCGCCGCGGUAAUAC
rnacentral:rRNA from 1 species